rnacentral:rRNA from 1 species
UACAACGCACUACCUGUUCAUUGUAGUCGUUGCUGUCAACAGCACACUGCUCACCAUCAACGCAGGGGACUACAUCUUCUACACAGACUGGGCGUGGACGUCCUUCGUUGUGUUCUCGGUGUCGCCGUCGACGUUACUUGCCGAAGGCGCAAUAUACUACAUGUUAUUCAACGGUGUUCCAGGAACUUAAACAUAUUCCGCAACUUGCAUGACCUACUACGCACGGUUGGAAAAGAGCGCUUGAUCUGCACUUGCAACCCUCUACGCCUUGUUCGGGCGACAAGACGCAACAAGCACGCUGCCCUACUGAUUGGCGGUACGCUGGUUGGCCUAUCCUUCCCGCUGUUCAACAUGGUCAACCUGUUGCUUGUAAGGGACCCACUCGAGAUAGCCUUCAAGUAUCCGAGACCGACUCUGCCCGCGUACAUGACGCCUAUAGAGCCUCAGGUAGGGAAGUUCUACAACUCGCCUGUCGCCCUGGGUUCAGGUGCCGGUGCAGUGCUAACGGUGCCCAUCGCAGCGUUGGGUGCAAAACUAAACACGUGA